UACGUAGGGUGCAAGCGUUAAUCGGAAUUACUGGGCGUAAAGCGUGCGCAGGCGGUUUGGUAAGACAGAUGUGAAAUCCCCGGGCUCAACCUGGGAAUUGCAUUUGUGACUGCCCGACUAGAGUGUGUCAGAGGGGGGUAGAAUUCCACGUGUAGCAGUGAAAUGCGUAGAGAUGUGGAGGAAUACCGAUGGCGAAGGCAGGUCUCUGGGCUGAUACUGACGCUCAUGCACGAAAGCGUGGGGAGCAAACAGG
rnacentral:rRNA from 1 species